UCCAUAGGUUAAUGAGGCGAACCGGGGGAACUGAAACAUCUAAGUACCCCGAGGAAAAGAAAUCAACCGAGAUUCCCCCAGUAGCGGCGAGCGAACGGGGAGGAGCCCAGAGCCUGAAUCAGCAUGUGUGUUAGUGGAAGCGUCUGGAAAGGCGCGCGAUACAGGGUGACAGCCCCGUACACAAAAGCGCAUGUGCUGUGAGCUCGAUGAGUAGGGCGGGACACGUGGUAUCCUGUCUGAAUAUGGGGGGACCAUCCUCCAAGGCUAAAUACUCCUGACUGACCGAUAGUGAACCAGUACCGUGAGGGAAAGGCGAAAAGAACCCCGGCGAGGGGAGUGAAAAAGAACCUGAAACCGUGUACGUACAAGCAGUGGGAGCACCCUUUGGGUGUGACUGCGUACCUUUUGUAUAAUGGGUCAGCGACUUAUAUUCUGUAGCAAGGUUAACCGAAUAGGGGAGCCGGAGGGAAACCGAGUCUUAACCGGGCGUUAAGUUGCAGGGUAUAGACCCGAAACCCGGUGAUCUAGCCAUGGGCAGGUUGAAGGUUGGGUAACACUAACUGGAGGACCGAACCGACUAAUGUUGAAAAAUUAGCGGAUGACCUGUGGCUGGGGGUGAAAGGCCAAUCAAACCGGGAGAUAGCUGGUUCUCCCCGAAAGCUAUUUAGGUAGCGCCUCGUGAAUUCAUCUCCGGGGGUAGAGCACUGUUUCGGCUAGGGGGCCAUCCCGGCUUACCAACCCGAUGCAAACUGCGAAUACCGGAGAAUGUUAUCACGGGAGACACACGGCGGGUGCUAACGUCCGUCGUGAAGAGGGAAACAACCCAGACCGCCAGCUAAGGUCCCAAAGUCAUGGUUAAGUGGGAAACGAUGUGGGAAGGCCCAGACAGCCAGGAUGUUGGCUUAGAAGCAGCCAUCAUUUAAAGAAAGCGUAAUAGCUCACUGGUCGAGUCGGCCUGCGCGGAAGAUGUAACGGGGCUAAACCAUGCACCGAAGCUGCGGCAG
rnacentral:rRNA from 1 species